AGGACUCUGGCGUACCGUUGUGUUAAAGAAUGAAGACUGGAAGAGGGGACAGCCUGAAGAUGACAAAGAGAGAGGCAAUGCUAUGUGCCUCUCUCCUUCUGCCCUAGCAGAAUACUACUGCAGCCAGAGAAUCGGGAGAGGAUUCCAUGAUGGCAGUUUUACAAAGAAUAAGCCCAGUGCAUGAACUUAAGAAAUCUACCCAGAGUUAAGGUUCCAAGGUCACAUCCAGAAUCAGGAAGGAGAACUAUAAAUUACAAAGCAUUGGACUGCAGCCAAGCCCAUGGGAAGCUACAUUUAGCAUAUCAUUCUCUAAGCAGCAGGAUGAAACCUUAACCCCCUUUCAGACAGAAUUUGAAUGGAAUUUGUUUUAAGAACAUUUUGAUUGAAAUAUCAUCAAU